GACACACCUGAAAAACAUGAUAAUGCACUGUGUAAGCAUUUUAAUAGUGUUAUAUACAGUCCUUUAUGGGAGCAGAGAAGAGUAAGAAUUUAUUGCUGCUUGGAGAGUGCAGAGGAGGCUUUCCAUCCAGGCCAAAAAAAAAAAAAAAAAAAAAAGAGGGAGAGGGAAAGAGAGAAAGGGAGGGGAGAGAGGGCGAAAAGGAAGGACUUUCUAGGAAAUAGAAGGUAUAGAACUGCAAAAAGCAUGGUGCCUUCAGGAAUGCAUAGUAGUGUACUGUGGCUGACAUGGGACACAUAGGAGGUGAGUGGGAGUGGAGUGGCAGGAAAUGAGAUUGGACAGAGGCUGUAUUUACAUGACAAGCUAAAGAGCUUGGAUUUCAUUUUUAGAGAUAAUAAAAUGCUUAACGAGUGGUUGGACAUGAUUUAUAAACCAAAAAAUCAUUCUGGUGGUAUAGGGAAGGGUACCUGCAAUAUGUGCAAUAGGCAAACAGUGAUUAGUUAGGACAAUCUAACUAAUUGAUGCAAGUGCUAGAAAAAUAUUUCAAAGCAGAAAGGAAUUAUACUGGAAAAACAUAAAUUCCCAUUAGUAGGCAAUGGAUACAUACACUGUACUAUAAUCAUAUGAUGGAAUCAUUCAGCAGGUAAAAUGAUUGAACUACAUCUGUGUAUGUGAAAAUGGGUAAAUUCAAAAUCAUAAAAAAAGUUGAAAAUUGAUCUAUAGAGUUAACAUCAUUUAUGUACUUUAUAAACAUUCAUUUAAUGUCAUGUCUAUAUAUAUAUAUAGUAAAAAUAUAAAAAUAAGGAUGUAAAAGAAUACCCAAUGAUUUGAAACAAGUAAAGUGAAAAAAAAAUGUUAAAAUUAGAUGCAAGUUAUGCGGGCACCACUGUGUUUAUACUUUAAAUGCUUUAAAUUUUUCACACUAAAGAGACGUUAAUUUUCACAUCAUGUCUCGGGAGUAGAUUCUGGAUGAUGUGCAGAGCGGUUCACUUGGCUGAGGCCUCCCAGCGGGGAAGUGGCAGAGCUGAGAUUUGAACCCAUGUUUCGGUUCUGGAGUCUAGGUUAUUUAUUCCAUGUUCUCUGUAUUGCUUCUCCCAUGGCUAAAAACCAUACCAGGUAUAUUGUAAAAAAAGGAUGGAUGGAACCCUACCCAAGGAUCAUAAAAAGAUGAGCCCAAUUUCCCCUUCUAUGUCCGGCCCAUUUCCACAGUGUCUUGCUCCUAAGAGGUGCUUUUCUAUCCAUUUUUGUUUUCAGUUUUACUUCUUAAUCCAUCAACGUUAAACCUCAUCAAACUUUCACUAGGAAAGAUGAUGAGGACAUAAUGACACUCGCAUUUUCCUUUCCCAUCCUUCCCUUCAUGGCUCUUCAUCACACAUGACCUUCUCUCUUAUAGAUGAAGAUAUAUUAAUUAUUUUGGAUUAUUGAGGGCUCUAACAUUUACGUUCUAUUUUGUAACUCUGUAUUUUUCAUGCUUUCAUAAGUUAUCCAAAAGCUGCAAAAUAAAUUAAGAGCAUUUUAUCAGUAAGACAUGUUAAUAUUAUUCAACAUAGACUCAAAGAUGGUUUGUACCACAGAGAAGGAGAUGCAUGCUAUUUUGCUCGACCUGGGCACCCAGAAGUUAAGAAGAGUAAGAGUACAAUUAAAAUUGGCACAACAUAGUAAUAAAUAAACUAUACUUUAAUAAAAAAUGAAUUUAAAAAAGAGAAUUAAGAGCAAAUACAUUCCCUUAUAUUUGAUCCAAGAAUACCACAUUUUAAUUUGCUUCACAUUUUGCCAUCAAAUUUCUUCUAUGGCUUUAAGAUUUUCUGAUGUUUCUUUUUGUAAGAGAGAGAAGUUAAACAAAUGCCUUCACCUUAUCACCAAAGUAGUUCACCUUUCUAAUCAUACUAUGUGUUAACACUAUGGUACGGUGAUGCUCUUAUUUUCUUUCAGGGUUUCCUCCUGGUACCCUCUCCCCUCAACUCCGGCUCUGACUCUGGCUAGUUGCCUUUUGUGCUGGCUGUACAGUCAUCAUCUCAUCUAAUGAGAUUCUUUUGUUCUUGGAUCUAAAGAAGAGUAGAUCUUUGUCAUCUUGGGGGAGCACAACCUUAAGUAAAUUUUUUAGAAAGAAUGCUUGAGAGAAGACUUCUCCUUGUGGCUUAGUAGUAAUGAACCCGACUAGUAACUGAAGGUACGGGUUCGAUCCCUGGCCUCACUCAUGGGUGAGCUGUGGUGAGUUCGCAGAUGUGGCUCAGAUCCAGUGUUGCUGUGGUUGUGGUGUAGGUUGGCAGCUACAGCUGAGAUUUGAUUCCUAGCCUGGGAACUUUCACAUACCAUGAGUGUGGCUCUUAAAAAAAAAAAAAGAAGGCUUGAGAGAUAAACAUUUCUUUGUCAUUGAGGAUUUUCACUUUGUCCCCCAUUGAUUAAUAGUUUAAACUGGGUCUAGAAUUCUAGACUUGGAGUUAGAGUAUUUUUUUUUCCCCUCAAACUACUGAAGAGGUUGAUUUGAAGUUCUCAUUAUCUUCUAACAUUUAUUGUUAUGGACAGAAUUGUGAAGACAAUGCAUUUUCAUUUCUUUCUAGGCAGCCUGUUUAUAUCUCUGGGAGCCUUUGGGAUCUACAUCUAUGGUGUACUGAAAUUUCAUGAGGUUAUGUCCAGCUGGAUAUCCUUUUUCAUUCCUUGUUCUUGGCAUUUAGUAGACUUUCUGUCUAAAGAAGAAUUUCUUUCUUUAGCUUUAGACAAUUUUCUCAAUUUCUAUCACUCUGUUUUCUUAGAACUUCAAUACUGGAUGUCUUAGACUAACUCUUUAUAUCUCUGCUUUUUCUCUUGUUCCUUAUUUCUUUUUAUUAUUAUUUUAUAGUCUAGGGGCAUUCCUUGACUUUUUCUUCCACUCUUUCUGUUGCACUUAAAAUUUUAUCACUUAAUUCUUGUCUCACAUUCUUGUUUCAUAUUUAGCUUUCGUUUCAUAUUUAGCUUUCACAUUUAUUUCUUGUUUUCUCAUUUCCUCCUCAUGGCAGCCUGUUGUUGAUUUAUAGAUGCAAAAUGUUUUCAAAUGUCUGCGGAUAUUCAACAUAUUGAAAAUUUCUUUUAAGCUGCCUACCUGCUAUUUCUGUAGAAAUCUUGUGUUCUACUCAUUCCUAUGUAUUUAUUUUUCAUUUGUCUUAUUUUUUCUUUAAAUUGUGUUUCUUAGUUGUAUAUUUAUAUUUUGUAGUUCAAUGGGUCUAGCCGUCAUAUCACCCCAAUCCAGGAGAUGCAUAUAAAGAGCUUUAAAUUUCCAACUCUUUUCUUAGCUUUGCUGGCAGAUUUUACAGACUGAAGGUAGGUGGUCAAUUGAGGGUCAUACAACUUCCUUGACCACUUCUUUUGUAGAUAUUACAGGUGAUCAAUCAGUUCAUUUUGGAAUGUGGGAGUCUUGGGUUUCUAUUGUCUUGGGACCUCAGUUCCAAGAGAAAUAAAAAGAAAACUCUGGCAUCCUUUAACUCAGGAGCACAGAGCCAGUGAUGGAGGAAUGAUGGAUAAAAGUUGCAAUAAUUGAAUGUAAUCUUUAGUAGAUUUCUCAGUAAGACAGUCAGUUGUUAACAGUGGCCCAGCAUGAGUCCAUUUUGAGGAGCGCCCACCUACUCCUCAUAGACCACAGGAGCCCGAGGGACUGGGUUUGAGCUCAUUCAAGCAGGAGACCAGUGCGCUUUAGAUGGAAUGCCUCUUUUCUUGCUCUCUCUUCCCCUGGCCAAAAUAAAGGAGGAAUGUUUUGAUUGUGAAAAGUUAAGCAAUUUCCAGUUAAAAAAUGGGACUAAUUGCAUUCUGCCCAAAUAGACUAGACCAUAUUUGAGGGAUUAAUAAAGUGAGCAGAGAUAGACCCGAUAAUUCAGAAAGGGCUUUAAAUAUUCUGAAGGCAAAAUAUCUUCACUGGCUGUUUAUUCAGCUUUUUAGAGUCAGCUGUACUAUAAGAGAAUUUUUAUUAAGAUCUGCGUGUAGGAAGAUAAACUUUUUCGAUUUUAAUUAGGUUCUGAGACUGUGUCCUCAGUUAUUUUGUGGCUAAGAUAACUAUUGAUCUCUCCUUACUAGCAGAUCUUACAGUCAGACUCUUUUCUCACCCUAUGCUUUUAUUAGAUCUCAGGGGUUUUUUUUGGGGGGGGGAGGAAGAAAUGAGAAAUUUCUAAAGGUUUAAAUUUUACCACAUCCCCAAAGGUUUUGGGUUGCUAUUUUUGGCUUACUUUUCAUAAGAUCACACAUGAAUCUAGAGCCGAUGGGUUUUUGACUCCUGCUGAUAUUUGCCUAACUAUCCUAGGGGGCUGGAGCUUAUGCUCACUUUUGUCAGAAAUGAUGUUAGGUUAUCUGCUGGUAAGAGUGAGCAUAGAAGAUAGGAUUUUAAAAAAUCAUCAGCUAGCCACAAGUCAAUAUGAUGAAAGCAUAUAAAUGGUGAUACUUUAGUGUUUUUUUUUUUUUUUUUUUAACAUUUCCCCCUGCAGAAUGAGAGGGAGAGAGAGCUUAGAUAAAAGUUUGAGUAAUCAUCUUAAUUGAAAAACUAUUCAUCAGUGCCAUCAAUAAUCUGAUGCAACCAUAUCACAACAGAAAUUAUUUUCAUUCUAAAUCAUGACUUUUUAUGAAACCAUCCUCAUUAGGUUUAUAUGCUAACACAGCCCCAUAAAUUCUGGUCAUUAGAGCAACACAUAUGAAAUCCAGCCCCUCUUUGCCUCUCAUCCAUGAAGCCAAUUAUAUUUAUGAGUUUGUCUUGUGGUUUUAUAAUAUGCAGUCUCAUCCUUUCCUAGACUCUUACCUGGAGAUGUUACUGCCCUCCUUUACCUUUGUUCCGCUGACACAAUUUAUUAUACUUUUGUUUUGUGUGAAUCCUGAUCUAAUCUCUGUCCCACAGAAGCUAUGAUGCUCAAGGUAUGCAUGGCCUUAUCUGCCUGAUCCCUCACUGACCUCAUGGCCCAGACCUUUAGUCCAACUGGCCGCCUCUGUGUGUCAUAGACAACCAGCCCUAUAAUACAUCCACCAGGAGCCAGCAUAAGCUGGUAGAGACAAGAAAGGAUUCUCUUCUAGAGCCUUUGGAGGUUUUUCUGGAAGUUUUCGGACAACUUCAUUCCAGACUUCAGUCUCCAGAACUGUGAUGGCACAAUUUUCUACUGUUUAAGCCAUGUGGUAAUUUGUUAUGGCAGCUGUAGGAAACCAAGAUACAACCAAUGUCUUAAUUACGGCCUCUUAAAGAAGAUAGAUAAAGGGUUAAGAGCUGUAUUCACUUGACAAACAUUACCACAUAUCAAGCACUGGGAAUAUGGAAAUGAAUGCCACAAACAAAUACCCUCACCCUUAGGGAGGGCACAGUUUAGAGUGUAGGGGACAGGUAAAACAUCAAGACAGUCAACAAACAAAUAAACAAUAUGGUGACUUAAAAGUUCUAUGAGGGAAAAUAAUGCAGAAAAACAAGGAAUUCCCAGGAGGGAGGGCUUGUCACUUCAGAUGGUGUGGUCAGGAAAAUUUUCAGCCAUAGAUAUAGCAAUUUCACAAAGGCCUUAAGCUGAAAGGGAGCAAGCCAUGCAGCUCUCUGGAGGGGAGAGCAGAGAGAAUGGGGAGCACAGUGGUCCUGAGGCAGCAGGAGCAAGGGGACAUGUGUUGUUAGCAUGCAGUGAGUGACGGGGAGCGCCACAGGAGGUCAGAUCCAAUGUGGGUGAUGGUGAUCAAGGCCUUGAAGCCACAGCUGGAACUUUGGCCUUUAUUAGUGAAUCUAAUUGAGAGUCACGGGGGCAGGGGAGGGGAAGUUUAGACAGAGAAGUUAGAUGCUAUGACAUAUAUUUAUCUUGCAAAGUUUUUAUUGAACAGUACGUAUAAGAUCUAGGUCUCAUGUAUACAUAUAUUAAAUAUAAAUGUAUUACAUAUGUAAAUAUCAUAAGGAUACAGCUCAGUGAGUUUACUCAAAGUGAAAAUGCAAAGUGUGUAACUAGCUUCUAGCUCAAGAAACUCACAAUGUCUAAAAUGAAAAAGUAGAAAAAACAAAUGUUGGCAAGUGUGCAGACUCAUAUUCUCAUAUACGGGUGGGUACAUUAUCAGCACCCCGAAAACUCUUCUGUGUUUUCUUUGUAGUCAUAAAACCUGCCCCUUCCAAAAGGGUAACCUCUAAUCUGACUUCUAAUGUAAAGAAUUAGUUCUUCAGGAGUUCCCGUCGUGGCACAGUGGUUUACGAAUCUGACUAGGAACCAUGAGGUUGCAGGUUCGAUCCCUGGCCUUGCUCAGUGGGAGGAUCUAGUGUUGCCGUGAGCUGUGGUGUAGGUUGCAGAUGUGGCUCAGAUCCCACGUUGCUGUGGCUCUGGCAUCAGCUGGUGGCUGCAGCUCUGAUUCGACCCCAAGCCUGGGAACCUCCAUAUGCCACGGGAGCAGCCCUAG
rnacentral:lncRNA from 1 species